AUUUAGCAAUGUACUUCAUUCUUUUCAAUUACUAUUCUCAGGUCUCUCCAUCAUCAGCACCAGCUUCAUCUCCUCGGUCAUGUUUUUAUGUUUAUAUGUUAUGGUGUCUAUCUAUGUCAGUUAGGAAAUGCAUAUCACAUUUAGUUGUACAUUCCUACUAGUAAUGUUGGUUAGGAACUAAUGUCUUAGCUCCUGAAUCCUACUAGUGCCUCCUCUCCUUGGCUUCCUGUUCCCUGUCCUUUCUCUCUUAACUUAAUUGCUGACAUUUUCUUUAACAUCUGUAGUACUAAACCUGUUAUAUGAAUUUUUCAUGAAUUUUGGCUGUUUUUGUUUUUUACCUGUGACUAAGAACUAGGGCCGCAGCAUGUAGGUUGGGCUGGGUUGGAAGUUAACUGGAGCCUUACUCUAGGAACUGAACAAUCCUGGCACAUGCACAAGUCAGCCCAAGCCUGGGCUUUUUUUUUUUUGUUGGGAUGAAAUUGCACAAUGAAAGAGAGGUUCUAACCGUAUGAUUCUAAUACAUAACAAACUAUGAUCUUAAGUUUACACAAAACUAACUUUCUGAUUCUUGAAUUUCAGUAUUAUCAACCUAUAAAGCAGCCACUUCAGUUGUUGGAGCUCUAUGAAGAUUCUCUUCUUUUCUGGAAUGGAGAAUUAAAACCAGAUUUGUGAACUUGUUCUGCUACUUGAACCCAAUCAGCCAGCAAGUAGGGAAUAGUUUAUUGGUUUUCAAAAAGGAACAAUUAUUUUUUAACUCAAGACUAAUAUAAUAAAGAUUUUUUUUUUCUUUUUUUUCAAAGAGGGGGAAAAAAAGAAUCGCCCUAGGUCUACAAAAAUUGGUACAUGUAUAGCUGUAGAUUAGAUCAGGCUCAAGCUGAUGCAGGUAUAGCUGUAGAUUACAUUGGGCUAAAGCUGAGUUGCAUUCAGUGAACUUGCCAGAGUGGAGUUGCUUGUCGAUUGGGUUUGGAGAAGGAAUACUUUUUGUAGACAUAAGGCAGAUUUAGGGUGCAAUUCUCUUUCUCCCUUUUUAAAAAGAAAAAAUUUCUGGCAUAUAAAAACAUCAUGCACAUUAUGGAUACACAAAUGACUGUUUAUAGAUAACACAAAAACAUCAGGCUGAGUUUUGGUUACUUGAGGCGUCAUCUGAGGAAUUGGAUUUUGCAGGGGCUUCAACCCAAGGCCAACUGAUGUUCAAGAGCAAGAGUUGAUGUGGGUAGGCUGUUAAGGUGGUUUAAACUCUCCCAAGCUGAGGCCCUUCUAAUUUGGUGAAUAGUAAAUAUAGGCGUGACACAUGAUAUUCCAAAGGUAAAGCCAGAGAGAGGUUUGGGCAUUACUUGUUAGAUCAUGUCGGCUGACUUGGACCAGGGCCUUCUGCUGCUCUUGUCGAGAUAUGGUCGCCAAUGACCUGUGCGCUGGAAUAUCUUGGGAUUCUUUGGGCUAUUUAUUUCAUUUGUCUUGCUCUGACACUGCCGGAGCUGCUCAAGGGGUGUGCUUGUUCAAGGAGCGUUUGGAACAAUAAUUAAGUGACGGGAACAGCUUCUGAUUCAAUUUUUGCUAACAACUUUUCUUAGUUGUUUGAUUGCACACAAACAUAGAAAAGUAAACUUUAAAUUUAAAUUUUGAAGCCUGUAACAGGUGGGGUUUAGAGUUGCAGCUGUGAAAUUCCGAGUUUCAUUUUCAUUGAGUAUAACAGGUACACCAAUAGGCUUAACUCCUUGUGAAUGUUGAACUUUUGAU